rnacentral:rRNA from 1 species
UUCCGGUUGAUCCCGCCGGACCUGACUGCUAUCGGAUUGAUACUAAGCCAUGCGAGUCUUUGUAGUAAUACAAGGCAGACGGCUCAGUAACACGUAGUCAACCUACCCUAUGGACGAGAAUAAUCUCGGGAAACUGAGCAUAAUUCUCGAUAGAUCAUAAUGCCUGGAAUGGUUUAUGGUUAAAAUGAUUCGUCGCCAUAGGAUGGGACUGCGGCCUAUCAGCUUGUUGGUGAGGUAAUGGCCCACCAAGGCGAUUACAGGUACGGGCUCUGAGAGGAGAAGCCCGGAGAUGGGUACUGAGACAAGGACCCAGGCCCUAUGGGGCGCAGCAGGCGAGAAAACUUUGCAAUGUGCGAAAGCACGACAAGGUUAAUCCGAGUGAUUUCUGCUAAAGAAAUCUUUUGCAAGUCAUAAAACCACUAGUGAAUAAGGGGUGGGCAAGUUCUGGUGUCAGCCGCCGCGGUAAAACCAGCACCUCAAGUGGUCAGGAGGAUUAUUGGGCCUAAAGCAUCCGUAGCCGGCUCUGUAAGUUUUCGGUUAAAUCUAUGCGCUCAACGUAUGGGCUGCCGAAAAUACUGUAGAGAUAGGGAGUGGGAGAGGUAGACGGUACUCGGUAGGAAGGGGUAAAAUCCUUUGAUCUAUCGAUGACCACCUGUGGCGAAGGCGGUCUACCAGAACACGUUCGACGGUGAGGGAUGAAAGCUGGGGGAGCAAACCGGAUUAGAUACCCGGGUAGUCCCAGCUGUAAACGAUGCAGACUCGAUGAUGCAUUGGCAUAUAGCCAGUGCAGUGUCGCAGGGAAGCCGUUAAGUCUGCCGCCUGGGAAGUACGUACGCAAGUAUGAAACUUAAAGGAAUUGGCGGGGGAGCACCACAAGGGGUGAAGCCUGCGGUUCAAUUGGAUUCAACGCCGG